UCCAUUUCGAGGACAUAGAAAUCCGCUGGGAAGACUAAAUGAUCAACCUGCACUAAAACGUCUUCCAAAACUCCAUUUGGAUAAGCGUUAGAUCUAUCGGCCAAUUGUAUGAUUACACCAUCAUGUUUAAGUGCUCCUAGAUUCAUAGAUGCAUAAACAGAAUAUGGCAUAACAUUAAUAGAUGCUCCUAAAUCUAGCAUGGCAGAUUUGAAACGGGUAUUACCAAUGACACAUGGAAUUGUAAAACUUCCCGGGUCUUUGCAUUUGGGGGGUAGUUUAUGUUGCAAGAUGGCGGAGACAUUCUCACUUACAUGUACCAGCUCUUUCUCCCGGACACGUUUCUUUGUUGUACAAAGCUUCUUUAAACACUUGGCAUACUUCGGG
rnacentral:lncRNA from 1 species